CUAGAACAUUAAAACGGGUAAUAUUUCGACAUUGCCAUAGUUAUACUGAGACAGGUGAAGACUAUUAAGGUCAUAUUUAGAGAGUCCCCUUGUGAUUGGUGAAUUCAUGCCCUCUGUGGAUUCAGCUUGUUCACGCUGUUGUCCGGUGGUCUGCCUGUGUUGCAGCUGCUGCAGGGCUAGUUGAAAGGUGCUGCACGACAU